rnacentral:rRNA from 1 species
GUAGGUGGCAAGCGUUGUCCGGAAUUAUUGGGCGUAAGGCGCGCGCAGGGCGGUCCUUUAAGUCUGAUGUGAAAGCCCACGGCUCAACCGUGGAGGGUCAUUGGAAACUGGGGGACUUGAGUACAGAAGAGGAAAGCGGAAUUCCAAGUGUAGCGGUGAAAUGCGUAGAGAUUUGGAGGAACACCAGUGGCGAAGGCGGCUUUCUGGUCUGUAACUGACGCUGAGGCGCGAAAGCGUGGGGAGCAAACAGGAUUAGAUACCCUGGUAGUCCACGCCGUAAACGAUGAGUGCUAAGUGUUAGGGGGUUUCCGCCCCUUAGUGCUGCAGCUAACGCAUUAAGCACUCCGCCUGGGGAGUACGGCCGCAAGGCUG